UUUCAAUAUUUUUAUUUUUUCUUCCAAGGCUGAAGGCCAAAGACAAAAAGACAGAAGAAAAAAAAAAUUCAGACUGCAAUUAAUUUCAGGUGGAGACAGUAAACACAGGAGGCGCCUGAUAUCAACGUGAAACGCACUGCAGUACUUCGUGCCCUUCCUGUAUACCUGCGGGAGGAGGACCCAGAAUUCUUUUAGACAUGUAAUGCGGACGCAUUGGAUGAGUCGACCCUCAUUGACACUCCAGUUGCCCUUCUCACAGUGGUUACCGACGGCGCUUCCCAGUCCAGUCCAUUUUACUUCCUCAAGCAUGGCUGUUUUGGUGAAAGGCGACUAGGUGAUGCGUGAUAUUCCCAGAUUUGCAAAUGCAUUUGCUUUAUUGUUUGGCUUGAUCUAUGCUCUGCAUUUAGACUACCCCAGGAAGCUGGUUCACACAUUUGCCUUAGUCCAAAAUAUCUUCAUGGGGCUUGAUGACGGCAAACCCCUGAAACCCCUGCCUACAUGCUCUUAAGGAAUAUAAGGCAAUGUUUGUUAGGACACGCACUCUGUUACUGAGCACUUUGUUUGAAGCACUUUAAGCACUUUAAGUUUACUACAGGCUUUGGGUGGAUUUAACUCCAUCAGUUUACCUAAUUUUCCUAUACUUGACUGCCUUAUCUGGUUAUUUGGAAGCUGAUCAUCUUUGUACCCAUUUUAAAAAAUUGUUUUUCAUUUCUAUUUAAAAAAAAGUGAUUAGUAUUUGACUUUUUGUUUUGCAUUUUUGUGUAUUUUGAGAAAGAUGCAAUUAGGACUGAUGUCGUCCUUUGUGAGUUUAUAAAAAGAUAAAUGUUCUACACAGAAUUUAUAAUGCUCACUUUAUGGUGCCGAUGUCCAUGUUAGUUGUUUUAUAAAAACAUUUGUGAUGUUUUUAAAUUUUCAUGAAAAAAUGUUAAAUAAACAAAAUGUAAAGUAA